CCCUUAGAUGUCCUGGGCCGCACGCGCGUUACACUGAUGCAUUCAACGAGCCUAUAACCUUGGCCGAGAGGCCUGGGCAAUCUUGUUAACGUGCAUCGUGAUAGGGAUAGAUUAUUGAAAUUAUUAAUCUUGAACGAGUAAUUCCUAGUAAACGCAGAUCAUCAAUCUGCAUUGAUUACGUCCCUGCCCUUUGUACACACCGCCCGUCGCACCUACCGAUUGGAUGGUCCGGUGAAGCCUCGGGAUUGUGGUUCUUGCCGCUUUAUUGUGGCGUGACCGCGAGAACUUGUCUAAACCUUAUCAUCUAGAGGAAGGUGAAGUCGUAACA
rnacentral:rRNA from 1 species